GCGGACGGGUGAGUAAUACGUGGGCUAACCUGCCCUCUCUANCUACUUGAUGGAUAACUCCGGGAAACCGGAGCUAAUACCGGAUAAUCCCUUUCUCCACCUGGAGAGAGGGUGAAAGAUGGCUUCGGCUAUCACUAAGGGAUGGGCCCGCGGCGCAUUAGCUAGUUGGUAAGGUAACGGCUUACCAAGGCAACGAUGCGUAGCCGACCUGAGAGGGUGAUCGGCCACACUGGGACUGAGAGCACGGCCCAGACUCCUACGGGAGGCAGCAGUAGGGAAUCUGUCCGCAAUGGACGAAAGUCUGACGGAGCAACGCCGCGUGAGUGAGGAAGGCCUUCGGGUCGUAAAGCUCUGUUGUGAGGGAAGAAGCGGUACCGUUCGAAUAGGGCGGUACCUUGACGGUACCUCACCAGAAAGCCACGGCUAACUACGUGCCAGCAGCCGCGGUAAUACGUAGGUGGNCAANGCCGUUGUCCGGAAUUAUUGGGCGUAAAGCGCGCGCAGGCGGCUUCUUAAGUCUGAUGUGAAAUCUCGGGGCUCAACCCCGAGCGGCCAUUGGAAACUGGGGAGCUUGAGUGCAGAAGAGGAGAGUGGAAUUCCACGUGUAGCGGUGAAAUGCGUAGAGAUGUGGAGGAACACCAGUGGCGAAGGCGACUCUCUGGUCUGUAACUGACGCUGAGGCGCGAAAGCGUGGGGAGCAAACAGGAUUAGAUACCCUGGUAGUCCACGCCGUAAACGAUGAGUGCUAGGUGUUAGGGGUUUCGAUGCCCGUAGUGCCGAAGUUAACACAUUAAGCACUCCGCCUGGGGAGUACGGCCGCAAGGCUGAAACUCAAAGGAAUUGACGGGGACCCGCACAAGCAGUGGAGCAUGUGGUUUAAUUCGAAGCAACGCGAAGAACCUUACCAGGUCUUGACAUCCUUUGACCACCCAAGAGAUUGGGCUUCCCCUUCGGGGGCAAAGUGACAGGUGGUGCAUGGUUGUCGUCAGCUCGUGUCGUGAGAUGUUGGGUUAAGUCCCGCAACGAGCGCAACCCUUGAUCUUAGUUGCCAGCAUUGAGUUGGGCACUCUAAGGUGACUGCCGGUGACAAACCGGAGGAAGGUGGGGAUGACGUCAAAUCAUCAUGCCCCUUAUGACCUGGGCUACACACGUGCUACAAUGGAUGGUACAAAGGGNCAGCGAAACCGCGAGGNUGAAGCCAAUCCCAUAAAGCCANUUNCUCAGUUCGGAUUGCAGGCUGCAACUCGCCUGCAUG
rnacentral:rRNA from 2 species